rnacentral:rRNA from 1 species
CCUACGGGAGGCAGCAGUGGGGAAUAUUGCACAAUGGGCGCAAGCCUGAUGCAGCCAUGCCGCGUGUGUGAAGAAGGCCUUCGGGUUGUAAAGCACUUUCAGCGGGGAGGAAGGCGUUAAGGUUAAUAACCUUGGCGAUUGACGUUACCCGCAGAAGAAGCACCGGCUAACUCCGUGCCAGCAGCCGCGGUAAUACGGAGGGUGCAAGCGUUAAUCGGAAUUACUGGGCGUAAAGCGCACGCAGGCGGUCUGUCAAGUCGGAUGUGAAAGCCCCGGGCUCAACCUGGGAACUGCAUUCGAAACUGGCAGGCUAGAGUCUGGUAGAGGGGGGUAGAAUUCCAGGUGUAGCGGUGAAAUGCGUAGAGAUCUGGAGGAAUACCGGUGGCGAAGGCGGCCCCCUGGACAAAGACUGACGCUCAGGUGCGAAAGCGUGGGGAGCAAACAGGAUUAGAUACCCCUGUAGUC